AUUUGAGUACAGAAGAGAAUGUGAAAUGGUCUAAUUUUUUAAAGAACUUUACAACUUAGUGGUUUUUUUUUUCCUUUUUAAAAAAACCAAUUUCACAUAGCCUACACUGUAGCUUACUCUGAGCUGUUAGUGAGGAAUACCUUGAACUUCUGAUCUUCCUGCCUUUACUUCUUGUGUUGGAAUUACAGGUAUGCCUGCUUAUCAUAGUGAUGGAGGCAAAUAAAGAGCUUCGUGCAUACAGGGCAAACACUACCAACCGAGCUGCAGCCCUGACUGAUUAGUUUAUUUCACUAAUAUAAGUUGAAAAAUAAGGGCAGAGGGCUUUCAAUUAUUUAGAAUUUGAUCACAGAACCCACUAUUUACAUGUUGUUUUAAUGUUAAAAUGUGUAAAUUCAGAUCCCUCACUAUCCUUUCAUGUAUUUCUGGGGCUAUGAUAAAAAACAAAACAAAACAAAACAACCCUUACUAGGUAAUAGGAAUGCAAACCAGGGCUGGGUGUGGUGGUGCCUGCUUUCAUCCUAGCACUCAGGAAGAAGCUAGCAGAAUUUUGUGAGUUAAAAGUCAGCCAAUAGAUGUAGCCAUCUGAAGACCAAACUUAGUGCUUUGUACAUACAAACAUGGUAUGAUUACACUACUUCCCCAGAUCUCAUUAAAAUUUUGAAAUUGUGUGCUGGGAGGUUAAGAGCCCAUUCCAGCACUCAUAACCAUCCAGGGAAUCUAGAAACCUCUUGUGACAUUUAUUGGCACCUAUACACAUCCAUCACACUUUCCCUCUCUCUCAAGGAGCUCAUAAAGUUUUAGUCUAAAAAUAUAUUAAGCUCAGUUAAGGGCAAAACUUUUUCUUCCAUUCAUUUUGGAGAUACUCUGUAGGCACACCUUUAGAAGACCCUGUUACUAUGUUUUCAAGGUCAUGACACUCAAUAGAUGACAUAAACCUUAACAUAUAUUCUGAAUUUUAUUUGUGACUGAGCAUAUGUGCAGCACAUUCAUGCAGAUGCUCAUGGAGGCAAGAGAGUGUCAGAUCUCUUGGAGCUGUAAUUUGUGACAUCAAAUUUAGGUACUGUGAUUUCUGCAAGAGCAAGGGCUCUUAACUGAUCUGUCAUCUUUCUCAUCCUUAACAGACAUUACUUCUAAAUACAUGGACAAUUGUACGUGUCCCUGUGUAGACUAGCGUAUUACACCUGGGAUCAGAUGCAAAGUCAAAUUUUAAAGGACUAAGCAAGACACCAGUUUUAUAAUUUAACAAGAUAUUCAUUUAACAACUACACUACAACUACUGUGUACAUGCCAUGCAGAAGAAAAGGCCCAAUUCAUCGAACACUAUCUGGCUGCUAAGUACAGCCUGCUGGUGUGUAAACAAGUCUUUUGUAGCAGGAAAGGAGUUAGAAAGUAGAUUGCUUUUGGAAAGAGGGCGUUAUAAAUCUUGAGGGUGAUUUCUCUUCUAUUGGUUGACCACUACUUUCUAGUCAAAUGAUAAAAUUGUACAUUCAUUCAUAAUUAUUUUCUUAAAAAAAUUAAAAAGUGAAUUGGUGGGCAGUGGUGGCCAUGCACACCUUUAUUCCCAGCACUCAGUGGGCAGAGGCUGGCCAGAAUUCAAGGCCAGCCUGGUUUAUAGAGCAAACUCGAGGACAGCCAGGGUUAGACUGAAAUCCUGUCUUGAAAACAAAACAAGCUGGGCAGUGGUGGCUCAUACCUUUAAUCCUAGUACUUGGGAGGCAGAGGCAGGUGGGCCGACAAGUUUGGUGCCAACCUGGUCUACAAGGUAAAACUAUCUUUAAAAAGCCACUUUAUUCUAAGACUGUAAUAUAUCUAAUGUACUAACAGUACCAUAAGACCCAGGCAGAUUAACUGAUCUGGAAGGGAAAUAACCAUAGAAAGCCCUUUAUCCUAUAUGCUUAGGAUCAAUAGUGCAGUAUUCAGUUCUUGGAACUUAGAAUAGCAGUGGUCUAUGUGUGUAUUGUAACAUGUCCAGGCACCACCACUGGUUGGCACUAGGAAUCAGAGAGACCAGUACCUCUGUUACUAAGUGCCACUCACAGUUAAGUAGCAUGAGGGUCAGAUUCUGGUCUGAGGCUUCCUAUGUGGAGCAGAGGGGCUUGGGAAUCAUUCUUCAUUUUUACUGCUGUGUUUGUCCAAGGACUGUUUUUGUCUAGAUUGCUUUUCAUUCUGGACAAGCAUGUGAAAAUCUGUGUGUGUAUAAGGAUUAAGAACUGUUGAAUUGUGAGCUAUGAACACGAACUCCAAAAAUCUUGUUAUUUUUCUUGGAGAGUGGAGUUGGUCAAUGAUUACACUGUAAAGACAAAAAUAGAGAUUACUGCAGCAUAAAUAUAUACAUUUGAAGCCUUAAAAAUGUAUGCAGUUCUAAGCUAGGAAUGGUGGUACAUACCUUUAAUCCCAGUAACUAGGAUGUUUUCUGAGACAUAAUCUUGGAAUGCCCACUGAAGCUUUCAAGUCCUGGUAUGUUUAUGAAAUCAUGCACAGAUAGUAUGCUUUAAACAGAACUUUUGUCACCAGGUCUGUAUGACAAUGGUUGCUGCACCUCUUUGGGAUAUGUGCAGAAAACUUAAAUACUCAAAAAUAUAAUUUUCUUUCUGCUUUUCCUUGAUCCAAGUAGCAGUUCCUGUACAGUGGACUAAGAUUGAACAAACCUGUUAUAUUUUCAGCUCCUCUCCUUGUUAAAAAGGAUACUGUCGCCCUCGUUCUUAUGGUUUUUAUUGUGUUACUGUAUAAUAGUAUAUGUGAGUUCAGGUAAGGUCAGGGAACAACUUUCCAGAGGCUUUCCUUAUAAUAUGGGUUCUGGGGUUCAAACAAAUCAGGUUUACCUUCUGAAUUACCUUGAACAGCCU
ensembl:lincRNA